UAGCGUAGGGUGCAAGCGUUAAUCGGAAUUACUGGGCGUAAAGCGUGCGCAGGCGGUUAUGUAAGACAGAUGUGAAAUGCCCGGGCUUUAACCUGGGAACUGCAUUUGUGACUGCAUGGCUAGAGUGUGUCAGAGGGGGGUAGAAUUACCACGUGUAGCAGUGAAAUGCGUAGAUAUGUGGAGGAAUACCGAUGGCGAAGGCAGCCCCCUGGGAGUAACACUGA
rnacentral:rRNA from 1 species